AUAACCUGCCCUCGGUAUCCGGAAUAACAUCUCGAAAGGGGUGCUAAUACCGGAUAAGCCCACGAGCUCUUCGGAGUUUGCGGGAAAAGGUGGCCUCUAUUUAUAAGCUACCGUAUCAAGAUGGGUCCGCGUACCAUUAGCUAGUUGGUGGGGUAAUGGCCUACCAAGGCGACGAUGGUUAGCUGGUCUGAGAGGAUGAUCAGCCACACUGGAACUGAGACACGGUCCAG
rnacentral:rRNA from 1 species